AAUGUCAUAGCUCAACUGGAAAGAGCAUUCGCCUACGAAGCGAAAGGUUGAAGGUUCGAAUCCUUCUGGCAUUA
rnacentral:tRNA from 1 species